CGGUCCAGACUCCUACGGGAGGCAGCAGUAGGGAAUCUUCCGCAAUGGACGAAAGUCUGACGGAGCAACGCCGCGUGAGUGAUGAAGGUUUUCGGAUCGUAAAACUCUGUUAUUAGGGAAGAACAAAUGCGUAAGUAACUGUGCGGAUCUUGACGGUACCUAAUCAGAAAGCCACGGCUAA
rnacentral:rRNA from 1 species